rnacentral:rRNA from 1 species
GACGAACGCUGGCGGCGUGCCUAAUACAUGCAAGUAGAACGCUGAAGGAGGAGCUUGCUCUUCUGGAUGAGUUGCGAACGGGUGAGUAACGCGUAGGUAACCUGCCUGGUAGCGGGGGAUAACUAUUGGAAACGAUAGCUAAUACCGCAUAACAGUAGAUGUUGCAUGACAUUUACUUAAAAGGUGCACUUGCAUCACUACCAGAUGGACCUGCGUUGUAUUAGCUAGUUGGUGGGGUAACGGCUCACCAAGGCGACGAUACAUAGCCGACCUGAGAGGGUGAUCGGCCACACUGGGACUGAGACACGGCCCAGACUCCUACGGGAGGCAGCAGUAGGGAAUCUUCGGCAAUGGACGGAAGUCUGACCGAGCAACGCCGGGUGAGUGAAGAAGGUUGUCGGAUCGUAAAGCUCUGUUGUAAGAGAAGAACGAGUGUGAGAGUGGAAAGUCCACACUGUGACGGUAGCUUACCAGAAAGGGACGGCUAACUACGUG